AUCAGACCUGUCCUAUAUGGCCGAGCAAGAUCGAGGACGGCCGCCGAUAAUGUUCUCCUCGUGUGCAAGCUCCGCACUGCACUGAAGCAUCCAACACAUGGGAAGCAUGAAGCACAAGCAAUCAUCUCAGAUAUCGAAUCUCAAGCAUAUAGAAAUAGGCUUGCAAAAAUCUUUAGUACUGAUUUGGCUGUUGCUCCUAACAAAGCCUCCAAAAUCUCUGCGAAGAGUUACAGUAUGAUCCUGAACUUGCGAGCAAGAUGCAUAAAGGCUCCUGGACUGCCUCGUGGUCACAGUGAAGAUGUGACACUUGUGGUUAUCUUCAUGUGGCAUUGA
rnacentral:rRNA from 1 species